rnacentral:sRNA from 1 species
AACAGGAGGAUCGCCCGCAAAGUGUCGGCGUCCAACGAGUUCCGACCGUAGCGGACAGGGUAGACUGCCGCCGGAUAGAUGA